rnacentral:rRNA from 1 species
AUUGAACGCUGGCGGCAUGCCUUACACAUGCAAGUCGAACGGCAGCAUAGGAGCUUGCUCCUGAUGGCGAGUGGCGAACGGGUGAGUAAUAUAUCGGAACGUGCCCUAGAGUGAGGGAUAGCUAGUCGAAAGAUUAGCUAAUACCGCAUACGAUCUACGGAUGAAAGUGGGGGAUCGCAAGACCUCAUGCUCCUGGCGCGGCCGAUAUCUGAUUAGCUAGUUGGUGGGGGAAAAGCCUACCAAGGCGACGAUCAGUAGCUGGUCUGAGAGGACGACCAGCCACACUGGGACUGAGACACGGCCCAGACUCCUACGGGAGGCAGCAGUGGGGAAUUUUGGACAAUGGGGGCAACCCUGAUCCAGCAAUGCCGCGUGAGUGAAGAAGGCCUUCGGGUUGUGAAGCUCUUUUGUCAGGGAAGAAACGGUUCUGGAUAAUACCCAGAGCUAAUGACGGUACCUGAAGAAUAAGCACCGGCUAACUACGUGCCAGCAGCCGCCGUAA